rnacentral:misc_RNA from 1 species
UAUCAUUACCAUUAUGUUUACUGCGGCAUUUACCGUUCCUGGUGGAAAUAUUCAAGAAACUGGCUUUCCAAUAUUCUUGCGUGAGAAAUCUUUUUUGGUUUUCAUAAUCUCGGAUGCAAUUUCGCUCUUUGCUUCCUCAACUUCAGUACUGACAUUUCUAGGGAUCCUUACGUCACGUUAUGCAGAGGAAGAUUUCCUUAAAUCCUUACCCACGAAGUUAAUUAUUGGCCUUUUCAUGCUUUUCUUCUCUAUAGCAACCAUGAUGAUUGCCUUUUGUGCUUCUCUUAUAAUUAUUUUAGAUGGUAGGCUAUCGCUUGUCCUUCCAAUAAUUUUGCUUGCUAGCAUUCCUGUCACCCUCUUCAUAUUUCUGCAAUUUCCCCUGCUUGUUGAGA